rnacentral:rRNA from 1 species
AUGAUGGUUGGACAAGAGAUAAUCUGUCUCAAAUUAAUAUAUUGAAUUUAACUUUUAAGUGAAAAGGCUUAAAUAAUCUGAAGGGACGAUAAGACCCUAUAAAACUUUAUAUUUAUAAGAUAGUAGUUAGUUUUAUUUAAUGGUAUUGUUUUUGGAGUAUUUGGUUGGGGUGACAAGGAUAAAAUAUAAAG